UAGCAUAAUCAUUAGUUUUUUAAUUGAAGACUGGAAUGAAAGGUUUAAUAAGAAAUAUUCUUUAUUUUUUAUUUAUAAUUGAAUUUAAUUUUUUAGUAAAAAAACUAAAAUACAGAAAAAAGACGAUAAGACCCUUUAAAGCUUUAUAAAAAUUAAUUUUAAGUUUGUAUUAGAAUAUUUAUAUUUUUAUUUUAUAUUUAUUUAAUUGGGGUGAUUUAAAGAUUUAAAAAACUCUUUCUUAUUUUUUUUAAAAAUUUUUAAUAUUAUUUUUUGAUCCUAAUUGUUUAGAUUAAAAAAUUAAGUUACUUUAGGGAUAACAGCGUAAUUUUUUUAAAGAGUUCAAAUCGAUAAAAAAGAUUGCGACCUCGAUGUUGAAUUAAGAUUAAAUUUAGGUGCAGAAGUUUAAAUUUA
rnacentral:rRNA from 1 species